rnacentral:tRNA from 1 species
GGGCCUAUAGUUCAGUGGUAGAACGCCUCGUUUGCAACGAGGAGGGGGGAGUUCGAUUCUCCCUAGGUCCACCA